UACCCGCUGAAUUUAAGCAUAUAAGUAAGCGGAGGAUAAGAAACUAAAUAGGAUUCCUUAAGUAAUGGCGAAUGAACAAGGAUGAGCUCAGUAUGAAAAUCGGGGCCUAUGGCUUUGAAUUGUAGUCUUGAGAUGUGUUGCCAGCGGAGGCGCAGAUGUAAGCCUCUUGGAAAAGAGCACCAACGAGGGUGAUAGUCCCGUUUGCCAUCUGCAGCCCCCCGUGUACGGCGCAUGUUCUAAGAGUCACGUUCCUCGGGAUUGGAGCGCAAAUGGGUGGUAAAUUUCAUCUGAAGCUAAAUAUUGGUUCGAGACCGAUAGCAAACAAGUACCAUGAGGGAAAGGUGAAAAGGACUUUGAAAAGAGAGUUAAAAGUGCCUGAAAUUGCUGAGAGGGAAGCGAAUGGAACCAGCUUUGCUUGGUGAGAUUGUUGCAUGCUAUAGCUAUGGCUUGCUAUGGUAACGCAAGUGCCCUAGCUUGCCACCAACUUGAUGCAUGCGGUGGUUCUUGCUUUGUGUGUCAGCUUUGGUGCAGACCUGAUGAAAACUGUAGGGGCAAGGUAGCUCGUCUCCGGGUGAGUGAAUGCCCUUGCAAGAAAUCACGUGUGCGCUUGACAUGGCGUGCCUCAUUUGGUGAGCCACAAGAUUGAUGACAAAAUGGUUCCAUACGACCCGUCUUGAAACACGGACCAAGGAGUCUAGCGUAUGUGCAAGUUCACGGGUGUCAAACCUGUUUGCGUAAUGAAAGUGACUGCUGGGAUUUCUGCACCAGCAACCGACCAAUCAAUUGAGAGAGGUUUGAGUAUGAGCAUAUCUGUUAGGACCCGAAAGAUGGUGAACUAUGCCUGAGAAGGGCAAACUCAGGGGAAACUCUGAUGGAGGCUCGUAGCGAUACUGACGUGCAAAUCGUUCGUCAUACUUGGGUAUAGGGGCGAAAGACUAAUCGAACCAUCUAGUAGCUGGUUCCCUCCGAAGUUUCCCUCAGGAUAGCUGGAGUUGAACAGUUUUAUCAGGUAAAGCGAAUGAUUAGAGGAAUCGGGUGCUCGUUGUCCUC
rnacentral:rRNA from 1 species